rnacentral:rRNA from 1 species
AACGAACGCUGGCGGCAUGCCUAACACAUGCAAGUCGAACGAGACCUUCGGGUCUAGUGGCGCACGGGUGCGUAACGCGUGGGAAUCUGCCCUUGGGUUCGGAAUAACUCGCCGAAAGGCGUGCUAAUACCGGAUGACGACGUAAGUCCAAAGAUUUAUCGCCCAAGGAUGAGCCCGCGUUGGAUUAGCUAGUUGGUGAGGUAAAGGCUCACCAAGGCGACGAUCCAUAGCUGGUCUGAGAGGAUGAUCAGCCACACUGGGACUGAGACACGGCCCAGACUCCUACGGGAGGCAGCAGUGGGGAAUAUUGGACAAUGGGCGAAAGCCUGAUCCAGCAAUGCCGCGUGAGUGAUGAAGGCCUUAGGGUUGUAAAGCUCUUUUACCCGGGAUGAUAAUGACCGUACCGGGAGAAUAAGCUCCGGCUAACUCCGUG